AAUCCCGACGUCCUCGUCUAGACUCGCUAUCUAGAACUAACGGGAUCAAAAGCACUGCUGCUUGCCCGUGCGUAUACAUUAAGAAUAAAGCUUUCAUCAUUCUUGAUCUUGACACCAAACCGAGCAGUUGAUUUAUUUAAAGUGCCUGGGCAGCAACUAACUAAGAGUAGAGAAAGGAGGACCCCCGAUCCAACGGAGGCACCCGUAACUGGCGCAGCCGGACUAGAACUAAAAGGAUUAACAACGCCUUUCACGUUCUUCGUUCCACUUCUGUAAACGGUCAAACAUUGGAGCCAACACUUACUUAGAAAGAAACAAACGGAUUCAUAUUAUAAAUACACACUACAUUUUAAGAUUAUCUAUAUAUAAGAUUACAAUUACUUAAUUACACCUUAUUAUUUAAGCUAAAACAUUAUUACACUAAACAUAUACACAACAUAUAGGUACACGUAUACAAAAGUAUAUAAGCACAAUAACACAUAUACCAUAUUUUUAAGUACAACACACAGACUACACAAAUCAAAAACACCUACAUGCCAAAGAGAAUUCCGUUUAAUACCCAAAGUAAAAGAAGACUUGGACUUAGAAGUGGAGGCAGCCUUCCUCAAAUUAGGGAGCAAGUAGAACAAUCCACCAACAGCAACAACAUCACUCGAAAAACUGCACCUGGAGGCAUUGGCAACAACCGGGAAAAUGGACUACAUAACUCAACAAUACUUUACCGCUACGUACCUUGCAUUGAGCAUAGUACUAAUACUUGUGAUCUGUCUCCGAACCUGUAAAAGGCAGAAAACGAUUUUUACCCAGCAACCCACCCACACACCUCACGUUGUCGAGUCGGCUAUCCCUUCGUUAUGGCCAUCUCUCCACACUAGGGGGGGAGGAGUUACCAUGCCCAGCAUUAACCCCCCUCAACAACCACCUCCGCCUAUGAAGCCCGCCCGGUAGGCGA